UAGGUCCUGCAAACACAGAGAUGCCCCUGGGCAGUGCCCUUUGGCCACAAGGUUUCCGUAGGGCAGAGCCGAAUGCCCAGAUGGUGGCAUGGGGUCUGUGAGCAGUGACAGGAGAGAGAUGUGGGGACAAAGUAAGAGCUCCCGGGGGGACAGCUCCAGGCAACUGCGAGAUGCUCAGGGAGUGCUAGGAAAGUGCCCACAGAAACAACUGUGGCAGGCUGGCUUCAGGCAACUCUCUUGUGGUCCUUCCUUGGAGAUGUCUUCCUCUGAGCAAGGGCAUCUUUCACCUCCUCUGCAGUCAGAUUUCCAGAAAAGCAGAGCUGCCUCUCUCCUGCCAUGUGCCUGUUUCCCCCUGCAAGGCAAAGGGRCUGAGAACAACUGCCCUGGGAGGACACACUGUGCAUUGGAGGUGCAAUCUGAGGAAGGUGCCCCUCUGUCUCUCUCUCUGCUUCCUUGACAGUGGGGUCACAGCGUUUCUCCUUGUUUCCUUACCUUUCCUUUCUGCUCUUGUACUUGCGGUCAGCUGGGGGUUUAGCUACAAAUUCAGACACCCACCCUGAGGUCCUGCCAUGGAGGUGUCUGCAUAGGGGCGAGGUGCCCAAGCCUUGUUCUCACCCCAGGGUGCUGAGCAAUGCAGUCAGAGGGGCUGGGGAAGGAGUUGACUCUCCCUUUAGGAGAUCUUGUUUUCAGGACACAUGACUGUCUCCUUUGGGUGUCCUGCUGGGUUUGCGAGCUGCCCUCCACAAGGGCACAGCUCUCCCAUUGGAUCUGAGCAGCACUGGAGAGCCAUUUCAAGAAGCUCAGGACAUGCUAAUACCACAAAAUGCUCCUGAGUGGUUUUGUACAUGUGCAGCUGAAGUGAACCUGGCAUUUCCUCAGCCAGAAUGGGAGUGUUGAGAAUUUCCUUAGCUAUCAGCUCUCACCUCACAGAGUCCUUGGUGUGAUCAUGUAUGUCAGGAGGAAAGUCCUGUUCUCUCCAUCACAUCUCCUCCCAGAGUUGAGAAAGAGAGUAGAGUUAGAUCUGUGCUUUGAAACCAGCCUCUUGUGGUCUCAUAUAGAGUCCAGUGUCUUUUUUAGAAUAACUUGUGCGUGAAAUCAUCCUCUGGGUAACACAAGUGUGAGCACAGGGCAGCUGGGAACAAGACGGAUGGACCCAGCAGCACUCCUGAUUCUGCACCAAGCCACUGAGAACCCGUUGGCCUCUCUGGUCUUUAUAAGGUUCAUUCUUGCAGCAAUAUACUCACCAGAUGUGAUGGCAGACCUUAAAAAUCUCAAAAAAACAAAACCCCCAAAUUGCUAAACCUCUCUGCUGGAGGCCACACUCUUUAGAAUUAUGUGUGCUUAUGUUAGCAGACCUUUUCCACUAAAGGUGGAUGUCCUCUGACAUCAGAGAUGUAGAUGUCACAGGCUAGUUCCCAUGUACCCACUGGUGUAAAGCAGGACAAACCCCUGCUCCU
rnacentral:lncRNA from 1 species